rnacentral:rRNA from 1 species
CCCUUAGAUGUCCGGGGCCGCACGCGCGCUACACUGAAGGAAUCAGCGUGGCUUUCUCCCUGACCCGAAAGGGUUGGGAAACCCGUUGAAUCUCCUUCGUGAUAGGGAUUGGGGCUUGAAAUUGUUCCCCAUGAACGAGGAAUUCCCAGUAAGCGCGAGUCAUAAGCUCGCGUUGAUUACGUCCCUGCCCUUUGUACACACCGCCCGUCGCUACUACCGAUUGAACGAUUUAGUGAGGGCCUCGGAUUGGUCUCGGCCCGCUCUUUACCGGGCGGCGCCGUUGGUCGAGAAGACGCUCGAACUUGAUCGUUUAGAGGAAGUAAAAGUCGUAACA